AGCCAUUAGCCAAACAAGUAUUAAAGGUAAUGCCUGCCCAGUGAGAACUUUUCUUAAAUGGCCGCGACACAAUCGUGCGAAGGUAGCGAAAUCACUUGUCUCCUAAAUAGAGACCCGUAUGAAAGGCCUAAUGAGAAAGAGACUGUCUCUUGAAGAUGGCUGGUGAAACUAAUCUGCCUGUGCAAAAGCAGACAUAAUAAAACAAGACAAAAAGACCCUGUGAAACUUAAAAAUUAACACCAUCAUCAUGGCCGUAUUUUUUUGGUUGGGGCAACCAAAGAGAAAUAAAACCUCUUACACGCAUCAGACCAACAAGUCUAAUCACACAAUAAUCGACCCAGUAAAACUGAUCAACGGACCAAGCUACUCCAGGGAUAACAGCGCCAAAUUCUUGAAGAGUUCACAUCAACAAGAAUUCUUACGACCUCGAUGUUGGAUCAGGAUACCCAAACAGUGCAAAAGCCGCUAACGGUUCGUUUGUUCAACGAUUAAUAUCCU
rnacentral:rRNA from 1 species